AACGAACGCUGGCGGCGUGGAUAAGACAUGCAAGUCGAACGAGAACCUUGGAGCUUGCUUUGGGGUUCUAGUGGCGGACGAGUGAGUAACACGUGAGCAACCUGCCUCUAAGUUUGGAAUAGCCCGGGGAAACUCGGAUUAAUACCGGAUGUGAUCGCAAGAUUAAAGGUGCCUUCGGGUGCCGCUUGGAGAUGGGCUCGCGGCCUAUCAGCUAGUUGGUGAGGUAAUAGCUCACCAAGGCGACGACGGGUAGCUGGUCUGAGAGGACGACCAGUCACGCUGGAACUGAGACACGGUCCAGACACCUACGGGUGGCAGCAGUCGAGAAUCAUUCACAAUGGGCGAAAGCCUGAUGGUGCGACGCCGCGUGGAGGAUGACGGCCCUAGGGUUGUAAACUCCUGUCAUCAGGGAGUAAAGCACAGGUGAUAAUACCACCUUGUGCCUGAUAGUACCUGAAGAGGAAGGGGCGGCUAACUCCG
rnacentral:rRNA from 1 species